GCCGGGGUGGUGAAAUUGGUAUACACGCCAGUCUUAGGAACUGGUGAGUUCGCUCGUGGAGGUUCGAGUCCUCUCCCCGGCA
rfam:Parcubacteria (Moranbacteria) bacterium GW2011_GWE2_47_10 TX75_C0048, whole genome shotgun sequence.